GGGCGUAUAGCUCAGUGGUAGAGCUCUGGUCUUACACACCAGCGGUCGGGGGUUCGAACCCCUCUGCGCCCA
rnacentral:tRNA from 1 species